GGAUAUGAGGGAGAUCUGGCUGCGACAUCUGUCACCCCAUUGAUCGCCAGAGUUGAUUCAGCUGAUCUGGCUGGCUAGGUGGGUGUCCCCUUCCUCCCUCACCCCUCCAUGUGCGUCCCUACUGAAGCUGCGUGCUUGGUCAAAGAGGACGGCUUUCCCUGAUAGAGACAACGGGUCUUCAGGUUAUACAGAGUAGCUGCGCUCCCCUGCUAGAACCUCCAAACAAGCUCUCAAGGUCCAAAGUUAAGCAGCAGGUGAGAAGUUGGGAAAAGAGGCAAGAUAGAUUGUUUCGACAAUGUCGAAAUGGCUUCUCU
rnacentral:snRNA from 1 species